rnacentral:lncRNA from 1 species
GGGCAUCUCUGCCUGAGGCGUGGAUGAUGGCUGUAGAACCCGAAUUGAAAGAAUUCCGGGCACCCUUUUAAAUUACAUCCCCACUGCCAACCGUACCCGAGGCCUAAGCUAUAAUGAAUUCACCCUAAUUUAUCAUCACCACAAAGAACGUCACCAUAUUUAUGCACCUUUGAAGGUAUAUAUAAUUCUUCAAUUAUUACUAGCUGAAUUUGUAGUUUUUGGAAUUCCAACUCUUUAGAAUGAUACAGUUAAUCAGAGAUCAUUCUCCUCGUCUUUAAAACAUCAAAGUUUAAUAAAUGAAAUUUUGUUGAACAUCCAAAAUCACAUUUGUAGAUUAACUUACAAAAUUUGAUCCAAUCAUUUUGAAUAAUUGCAAUGUAUUUUUGGGAUAAAUAGUUUUGCUAUGCUGACAAUAUUGCACAAAGCUUACAUUUAUACUCCCUCCGCUCCAUUUCAAUUUAUGUGAAUUAGUUUAUAUCUAGUUGCCCCAUCAAAGAGGAGAGGACAAAGAAAAUCUUUGACAAGUUCGACGCUAACAAAGAUGGCCAUCGAUCUGAUCAACAUGAUGGAGCUGCUGGAAUGGAUCAUGAUUCAUGGCUGUAGAACACAAAUUGAAUUACGAGAUUCGGAAGUAUCUGACCAUGCUUUCAGACUACCUCUACAGUAGUUUCUCAUCUACCCUAGUUGGUUAUAUAUAAAAAGGCCUAUGCUAUACUGGUUUCAGCGAAAUUUAUCAGCAUAAAAAACGUGUCCUUGAUUUUGACUUCAACACCCUCUAAUUCCAGCAAGAAAAAACUAAUGCAAUUCAGCAGGUAUAAUAACUUGAGUCUCCAGCCUCUACUUCCAUAACAAAUUAAUAUUCACUCACUUUAUAUAUAUUUGUGGUAGUGUUCAAAGAGUGUCCGUCUAUCACCCACAAAGACAAUAGAGAAAAAGAAAACGACACAUCAAGUUCAGG